AAUCAAUGAGCUUGUAAAGCAUAUAUUUUGAAAAUAUAAGAAAGAAUAUUUAAUUCUAUUGAUUU
rnacentral:tRNA from 1 species